UACGGGGGGGGCAAGCGUUGUUCGGAAUUACUGGGCGUAAAGGGCUCGUAGGCGGCCAACUAAGUCGGACGUGAAAUCCCUCGGCUUAACCGGGGAACUGCGUCCGAUACUGGAUGGCUUGAGUGUGGGAGAGGCGCGUGGAAUUGCAGGUGUAGCGGUGAAAUGCGUAGAUAUCUGCAGGAACACCCGUGGCGAAAGCGGCGCGCUGGACCACUACUGACGCUGAGGAACGAAAGCUAGGGGAGCAAACAGG
rnacentral:rRNA from 1 species